GCACUUUCCGCUGCCUUCAGUUCUUAGGGUUUAUAAGUCGGGUUAAUCAAGCGAAUUUUCUUCUUUCUUAAUACUGAACAAUUGGAAGCCCUUCGAAUCGAAUUUCUGCGUCUUCGGGUUCAUUCGAUUACAGUACGCAGCUGCAGCCAUGACUGAGUAUUGGGUUAGCCAAGGAAAGAAAUGGUGCGACUUCUGCAAAAUCUUCAUAUCAAACAAUACUUCCAGUAUAAGGAAUCAUGAGCUUGGUGAACGUCACAAGGAAAGUGUGUCCAAGCGUCUUACUUCUAUGAGGAAAGACAAAGCCGCAAAGGAGAAGGAAGAGAAAGAAACUGCGCGUGCGCUUGAGCAAAUUGAAGCAAAAGCUAAGCGCAGCUAUCAAAAGGACAUAGCAAAAAAUCAGGAGGUCAGAGAGUCUAAUGCCCAUGGACCGGAUUUUCUAGGGGAUGACCAAGAGGAGUGGCAGUAUGACAGCUCUUCAGGCUAUCACUACAAUUCAGGAAAUGGUUUAUACUAUGAUCCAAACUCAGGCUUUUACUAUUCUGAUGCUAUAGGCAAAUGGGUGACACAAGAAGAGGCAUAUGCUUCAACUGUGGUGUCAUCAGACUCCAGACGUAAAGAAUCCACUUUUAAAAAGCCUCCACCGACAUCAGAGGCAAGUUCAGUUAACGCAAACAAAGGUCCUGCUGGAAAUGGACCUGCACCAGGUCCAGUUGUAGCAGCUUCCUUGAACCCUAUGAGAUCUGUCAAAGGUGCUCCUUCAUCAUUCGCUGUUAACAAGCGAAAAAGGCAAGAUGUGAAGGCUAAGCCAAAAACCAUUUCUGAAGCAGAGAGAGCUGCACUUAAAGCUAGGGAGGCUGCAAAGAAGAGAGUUGAGGAGAGAGAGAAACCAUUGCUUGGUCUUUACAAACACUGAUACAGAUCCAUGAUGCAGUUCCUUGAGGCAAAAAGUGGUAUGCAUUCAGCAUAAGGUUUAUGACAGGGGUCCCAUGCAAGUUAUGCGGUUGGUUUGUCAGAAGGGAAGGGUCAUUGUUAUUUGUUAUGCAAUUAAGGAUAUCUACAAUUAACCAGUGGCUAGUGUGAAAAUAAGUGAAGGAUCCACAGAAGAUUUUCUUUAACACAAUAGGUUUACGUGCAGUAUCAGUAUUGAGUUCCAUUCUGUUUUCUUUUACACUGAAGCCAUGGUAGCUGUGUAACUAUGCUUUGCUGUGUCAUCAUUGUCUUGAGAAGCUUUGGUCUUUAGAAAAUGACCGAAUUUGAUGACAUUGUUCACCGUGAACUCUAGACCGGCUUUGUGCUCUUCUUCUGUGAUGACAUGAUUAGCUGCAAAAGGUUUUCCAGUUGAAUAACCAUGACUGUUGGAUCUUGGUUUCU